rnacentral:rRNA from 1 species
UAGGGAAUCUUCGGCAAUGGGGGCAACCCUGACCGAGCAACGCCGCGUGAGUGAAGAAGGUUUUCGGAUCGUAAAGCUCUGUUGUAAGUCAAGAACGGGUGUGAGAGUGGAAAGUUCACACUGUGACGGUAGCUUACCAGAAAGGGACGGCUAACUACGUGCCAGCAGCCGCGGUAAUACGUAGGUCCCGAGCGUUGUCCGGAUUUAUUGGGCGUAAAG